rnacentral:rRNA from 1 species
UUGACCUCGGAUCAGGUAGGGAUACCCGCUGAACUUAAGCAUAUCAAUUAAGCGG